GGGGACAUCAUUUGUUGGGGAGGGGAAGUGUGUGGCAGGUAUGAAGUCAUGUAAGGUUUGGUUCGUUUGAAGUUGUCAUUGUUUAUAGUUUUAACGCAAGCAGUAUCAUUUUUAAGCGUUAGUCUAUGGUUAUUUUUAGAUCUUGCCUAGUCCAUUACGGGUAUAAGGGGUGUCAAGAGAUUGUGUCAUCGCUUGUGUUGUGCCCUUUGACUUGCUUGGCCCCUUGUGUUGAUUGGUUCUUUUAAAACACUAAACAUUACUUGCACGUCAGCCAUUGCACUUCACUUCAAUCCGAUCGCAGUUCAGAGCAUAAAACAACUAACACGUCCGAUCUAAAGGGUGUCUGUCAAUAAAGAAUAGAUCUCACAACCCGUAA
rnacentral:lncRNA from 1 species